UUGAACCAAGCUGUCUUUUCAAGAAUGCUUGUAUAGUGAACAGUCUUGGAACUAAAGAUAAUUUCUUCCUCUAGAGCAAAGGGAGUUUUGCUUAUCUCCCAUUAUAAAAGAUCCGGGUGCUCUAAGCUCAGGGUUCCUCUCUGUAACACAGCCCACACACAGCAUGUGCCACUGUCAUCUAACCCUCUUCACUGCUCUGUGGGAAUCUAGGCUUAGGGAACCAUUGCAAGAAAAUGUUAAUGCUUGGCUACUGUGAUCCUGUAAUCAAAUCCUUUGUCUGUGAAGUAGUGGUCUCACAUCUCUGCCAGCAUUCAUGAAAGCGUCUGGCUAACUUGUUAGUUUGCAAGUAGGGGGGAAAUUUUAGACCCUCCACAGUUCCAGACAUUUGCUAAGUAUUAUCAAUGAUCAAAGCUGCCUUUAAGUCUUGAAGCAGAAACUUUAUAAUAGCUCCCCUGACUGCCUCAUACAGACUACUAGCAACUAAGACAGACCCAGAAAUAGUAAUAAUAAUAUUCAUUUACUUAGUGUAUGGGAAAUUCUUAGUGCCCAUUUAUAUCCCCUUUGGAUCUUUUCUAGCAGUUCCAUGCUCUAAUUCCCCAGGUUCAGAGGGCUUUGCUGCUAACCGUGGGCGAAUGUAACCUUCUCAAGAGGCUUGACCUUGGACACCAUGGCCACUUCACUUGUGCAAAGUGCAGGAAGUGACUGGGAGUUUAUAUUUCUGCCUUGAAGAUAAUGACUGACUGAAGUAGAGGUAGGAGAGUCCUGCUCUCUUCCUCAAGGCUAGACAAACUGUGGGUGUAAUUUAUGUUCCAGAACUUCCUGUAGGAUCAGGCUGAGAUGGGAACUUGCCCUGAAGUAGCAUUUUGUCUGGCUUCCCCACUCCCUCACUGGUUUCUCGUUGGCAAACAUCCUUAAUAAAUAAAUGGCAAAUGCUUGGCCUGAGGUCUGCUUCUAGGAGAACCAACCUAAUAUAGCUGUGAUUCUCAACUCUGGUUGCCUAUUAGAAUCAACUGGGGAAUUUUUUAAACAUUAUGAUGCUAUCUCACCUGAGAACAAGUAAAUAAGAAUCUCAGGCAGCAGGGCCAAGGCAUACAUAUGUUUAAAAUCUCAGAUGAUUCUAAUCUUCAGCACUGACUCAGGCUAUUUGAAGGCCUCUGGGUAGUUUAAUUUCACCCUUUGUUAUAUUCCCAGCGUUCAGACAGACCUAGCAGAAAUCACAUCUAGGAUAUCGCUCAGCCCGGGAAAUCCUCACAUCUGAAAACUUGGCAGCAACAGGCCCAAUUCAGGCAGAAGAAGAAUGCUUUUCCUUGGCAGCCCUGCUGGCAUCUGAGAGCAGUCCUGGGAUGGGAAGAUCCUAAAAGACUUCCCCAGGGAAAGUUUAUAUAGCUGGCAAGCAAAGGCAGACCACUAGUCCUCCCACCACCCUGGAAAGACCACUGCUAUCUGUGUAUGGCUGCAAAUCCAAAUUAUAGGGCUACUGGGAUACCACAACAUUAAUGUCUCAUCUUAACAGCACACUUUGACCCCUACCUGCAGACAGCCUAACGGUGCAGUGCUGGUUACAUUUUGUCAGUUUUGCUAAGCCAUUACCCCUAGUUGAUUGAUCAAAUACUAGUAUAGAUGUUGCUGUGAAAGAAUUGUGUAGGUGAGAUUAAUCCCUACAGUCAGUUGACUUUAAGCAGAUUACCUUUGACAAUGUGAGUGAGCUUCAUCCAAUUAGUUACACCUGAGCCAGGAUACCUGCCCAUCCCCCCAGACUGAAGACUCUAAGCAGAAGACUUCCCAACUACUCCCAUAAGUUUGCCACAAACUUAUAAGGGGAAAUAUUUAAAAUUAUUUAAAAUUUCUCUGUUUUGAAAAUUUGACUUUCUUAGCCAUUUACAGUCUUUACUCUUCACUCUUCCAUAUGUGAAAAGAGCUGGUUUGUCAGAUUCCCAUAGCAGUAGCUCACAAAAAUAACUUUUAAUGAGAGCUCAUAGAAAAUUGAAUUAAUUCCUGUGACUCUCAGCUCUAAGUGCAUGUCAUAAGUAACACCUGCACAGCAUUAUAAACUGUUCUCACACUUGAUCUCCAACCAAAGAGAUCCACUUCUAUGUGUCUCAGUGUGGCCUGGAUGACUGCAUCUUUUAAAAGCUCUCUUGAAGAUUCUGAUGACCAACCAACUUGAACACUACUGAUCUCUCUGAUUAGAGAAGAUAAUUUGGCAAUUGUGCAGAGAGCCAACUGUGAAAUGGAAAGAACAGUGGCAAGAGUUAAGAAAGGACGUGGAAAAUGACAUUGGAGCCACAGUGAUACAGAUACCUUGACCCCAACAUUGGAGGACUCGGUAAGAACCAGAGCAAAAGAGAAAAAUAAAAGGCAAUUCCCUGGGGAUGCAAUGCCAGAGAAACAACCAAAGAAAGGGCAGGCAAAAGAAAGGCUGAGAAGAAAGAAGUCAGGAAAAGAGGGUGACCAGACAGUCAUAGAAGGAAAGAGUCUCAACAAGCAGCAGGUGGGUCAGAUUCUUGAAGAUAGGAACCAAACAUUAAUCUUGAGUGAAUAAGGAAACCAUAAUGCCCUGAAGAGUGAUAUGCCCUGAAGAGUGAUAUGAGGAUAGCUGCAAGCUACUGGGGCAGUACUGAAGUACUCCUAACGUACUGACAUUGCCAUCAAAAAUGAUGCAUCUAUUUGACAUACCUGGAGCAAUGAAUGUCUGCUGCUAAAAUUACCAUUACAGAUGCAAUAAAAAAGUAAUCCUGUGAAUACUAUACUGUGUGCCUGCAACUUACAUAAUAUUGUACAUCAACUGAAAUUCAAUAAAAAUAAAUCCUUUUUUAAAAAAAGAAAUAACCUCGGGAGUUCCUGUUGUAGCUUAGUU